GAUCAUGGCUCAGGAUGAACGCUGGCGGCGUGCCUAACACAUGCAAGUCGAACGAAGCACUUCUGGUUUGAGAUUCGUCAAGAACUGGAUUUGACUUAGUGGCGGACGGGUGAGUAAUGUAUGAGCAACUUGCCUUUCAGAGGGGGACAACAGUUGGAAACGACUGCUAAUACCGCAUAACGUAUUUUAAGGGCAUCCUUGAAAUACCAAAGGAGCAAUCCGCUGAAAGAUGGGCUCAUAUCUGAUUAGUUAGUUGGCAGGGUAACGGCCUACCAAGACUGCGAUCAGUAGCCGGACUGAGAGGUUGAACGGCCACAUUGGGACUGAGAUACGGCCCAGACUCCUACGGGAGGCAGCAGUGGGGAAUAUUGGGCAAUGGGCGAAAGCCUGAACCCCAGCAACGCCGCGUGAAGGAAGAAGGUCUUCGGAUUGUAAACUUCUUUUAUGAGGGACGAAGGACGUGACGGUACCUCAUGAAUAAGCCACGGCUAACUACGUGCCAGCAGCUGC
rnacentral:rRNA from 1 species